rnacentral:rRNA from 1 species
CCUACGGGAGGCAGCAGUGAGGAAUAUUGGUCAAUGGCCGCAGGGCUGAACCAGCCAAGUCGCGUGAGGGAUGACGGUCCUAUGGAUUGUAAACCUCUUUUGUCAGGGAGCAAAGGGCGCCACGUGUGGCGCUUUGCGAGUACCGGAAGAAAAAGCAUCGGCUCACUCCGUGCCAGCAGCCGCGGUAAUACGGAGGAUGCGAGCGUUAUCCGGUUUUAUUGGGUUUAAAGGGUGCGCAGGCGGAAUGGCAAGUCAGCGGUAAAAUUUCGGGGCUCAACCCCGUCGUGCCGUUGAAACUGGCGUUCUUGAGUGAGCGAGAAGUAUGCGGAAUGCGUGGUGUAGCGGUGAAAUGCAUAGAUAUCACGCAGAACUCCGAUUGCGAAGGCAGCAUACCGGCGCUCAACUGACGCUCAUGCACGAAAGCGUGGGUAUCGAACAGGAUUAGAUACCCUUGUAGUC